UACGGAGGGGUUAGCGUUGUUCGGAAUUACUGGGCGUAAAGCGCGCGUAGGCGGAUUGGAAAGUUGGGGUGAAAUCCAGGCUCAACCCUGAACUGCCUCCAAAACUCCAGUCUUGAGUUCGAGAGAGGUGAGUGGAAUUCCGAGUGUAGAGGUGAAAUUCGUAGAUAUUCGGAGGAACACCAGUGGCGAAGGCGGCUCACUGGCUCGAUACUGACGCUGAGGUGCGAAAGUGUGGGGAGCAAACAGGAUUAGAUACCCCCAGUAGUCC
rnacentral:rRNA from 1 species